rnacentral:snRNA from 1 species
AAAAAGGGCGUCUGCCAUGUUUGGCACAGCUGUGGACGGGUUUCUCUGAUACAGCUGCGGAAUCGCUAUCAAGAGAUUUCGGAUGCACAAUUUUUAGAACUCGGGGCUGUCAAUGACUGUUGUUCUUGGCGCCCCA